GACGAACCGUGCGAACGUUGUUCGGAAUCACUGGGCUUAAAGGGCGCGUAGGCGGGCGGCCGCGUCCGGGGUGAAAUCCCGCCGCUCAACGGCGGAACGGCCUCGGAUACGGGCGGCCUCGAGGGGGGUAGGGGCGUGCGGAACUCUGGGUGGAGCGGUGAAAUGCGUAGAGAUGUGGAGGAAUACCGAUGGCGAAGGCAGCCUCCUGGGCCAACACUGACGCUCAUGCACGAAAGCGUGGGGAGCAAACAGG
rnacentral:rRNA from 1 species